UCGAGGAUCUUUCGCAAUGGGCGCAAGCCUGACGAAGCGACGCUGUGUGAAUGAUGAAGGCCUUCGGGUUGUAAAGUUCUUUCGCGCAAGAACAAGAGAGGAAAAUGAAUAAUUUUCCGAUUUGAGGGUACUGCGUAAAGAAGCACCGGCUAACUCCGUGCCAGCAGCUGCGGUAAUACGGAGGGUGCAAGCAUUAAUCGGAUUUAUUGGGCGUAAAGGGCGCGUAGGCGGGCCUACAAGUCAGAUGUGAAAUUCCGGGGCUCAACCCCGGAGCUGCAUUUGAAACUGUAGGUCUAUAGAGGGAUGACGGAGAAAAUGGAAUUCCACGUGUAGCGGUGAAAUGCGUAGAUAUGUGGAAGAACACCAGUGGCGAAAGCGGUUUUCUAGUGAUCACCUGACGCUGAGGCGCGAGAGCAAGGGGAGCAAACAGG
rnacentral:rRNA from 1 species